rnacentral:rRNA from 1 species
AGUGAACGCUGGCGGUAGGCCUAACACAUGCAAGUCGAACGGCAGCACAGUAAGAGCUUGCUCUUACGGGUGGCGAGUGGCGGACGGGUGAGGAAUACAUCGGAAUCUACUUUUUCGUGGGGGAUAACGUAGGGAAACUUACGCUAAUACCGCAUACGACCUACGGGUGAAAGCAGGGGAUCUUCGGACCUUGCGCGAUUGAAUGAGCCGAUGUCGGAUUAGCUAGUUGGCGGGGUAAAGGCCCACCAAGGCGACGAUCCGUAGCUGGUCUGAGAGGAUGAUCAGCCACACUGGAACUGAGACACGGUCCAGACUCCUACGGGAGGCAGCAGUGGGGAAUAUUGGACAAUGGGCGCAAGCCUGACCCAGCCAUGCCGCGUGGGUGAAGAAGGCCUUCGGGUUGUAAAGCCCUUUUGUUGGGGAAGAAAAGCAGCAGGUUAAUACCCCGCUGUUCUGACGGUACCCAAAGAAUAAGCACCGGCUAACUUCGUG